rnacentral:rRNA from 1 species
AGUGAACGCUGGCGGCGUGCUUAACACAUGCAAGUCGAACGAGAACGGAAUAUAGCUUGCUAUAUUUGUCAGCUAAGUGGCGCACGGGUGAGUAAUGUAUAGAUAACCUGCCCUUAAGAAAGGAAUAACAGUUGGAAACGACUGCUAAUGCCCUAUAUGCCUUUAAUACAUAAGUAUGCAAGGGAAACGCUUUAGUGCUUAAGGAUGGGUCUGUAUGGUAUCAGCUUGUUGGCGAGGUAAUGGCUCACCAAGGCUAUGACGCCUAACUGGUUUGAGAGGAUGAUCAGUCACACUGGAACUGAGACACGGUCCAGACUCCUACGGGAGGCAGCAGUGGGGAAUAUUGCACAAUGGACGAAAGUCUGAUGCAGCAACGCCGCGUGGAGGAUGACACAUUUCGGUGCGUAAACUCCUUUUGUAUAGGAAGAUAAUGACGGUACUAUAUGAAUAAGCACCGGCUAACUCCGUGCCAGCCGCCGCGGUAA